rnacentral:rRNA from 1 species
GACAGAGGUGCCAAGCGUUAGGCGGAAUCACUGGGCUUAAAGCGUGUGUAGGCGGAUCGUUAAGUACCUUGUGAAAUCCCACGGCUCAACCGUGGAACUGCUGGGUAUACUGGCGAUCUUGAGCCACCUAGGGGCGAGCGGAACAAACGGUGGAGCGGUGAAAUGCGUAGAUAUCGGGAAGAACACCCGUGGCGAAGGCGGCUCUCUGGAACGCAACUGACGCUGAGACGCGAAAGCGUGGGGAGCAAACAGG